GAAGUAAAAGUCGUAACAAGGUUUCCGUAGGUGAACCUGCGGAAGGAUCAUUAUCGAAUCGUAGGCGAGGGUUGUCGCUGGCCUCUCGGGGCAUGUGCACGCCCGAGCCCUUGAAUCCCAAACACCACAUGUGAACCCACCGUAGGCCUUCGGGCCUAUGUCUUAUCAUAUAAUCUGAAUGUCUAAUAGAAUGUAAACCCAUUUCGUUGCCUUGAAAACGUAACGAAAGAAAACUAUACAACUUUCAACAACGGAUCUCUUGGCUCUCGCAUCGAUGAAGAACGCAGCGAAAUGCGAUAAGUAAUGUGAAUUGCAGAUUUUCAGUGAAUCAUCGAAUCUUUGAACGCACCUUGCGCCCCUUGGUAUUCCGAGGGGCAUGCCUGUUUGAGUGUCAUUAAAUCCUCAACCCCUCCGAUUCGUUUCGGUGGGGAUUGGACUUGGAGCGUGCUGGCGAAGGUCGGCUCCUCUUUAAAUGCAUCAGCGGAGAAAAUGCCUUUUGCGCCUCUGGCCGUUCAGCGUGAUAAUGAUGUUGCGCUGCGGUCGAGCUUAAGGUCCGCUUCCAAAGGUCCUCGGACAAAUAUACAUAUGACUUUGACCUCAAAUCAGGUAGAGCUCCCCG
rnacentral:rRNA from 1 species